CCUACGGGCGGCAGCAGUGGGGAAUAUUGGGCAAUGGGCGCAAGCCUGACCCAGCAACGCCGCGUGAAGGAAGAAGGCUUUCGGGUUGUAAACUUCUUUUCUCAGGGACGAAGCAAGUGACGGUACCUGAGGAAUAAGCCACGGCUAACUACGUGCCAGCAGCCGCGGUAAUACGUAGGUGGCAAGCGUUAUCCGGAUUUACUGGGUGUAAAGGGCGUGUAGGCGGGAAAGCAAGUCAGAUGUGAAAACCAUGGUCUCAACCUGUGGCCUGCAUUUGAAACUGUUUUUCUUGAGUACUGGGGAGGCAGACGGAAUUCCUGGUGUAGCGGUGAAAUGCGUAGAUAUUAGGAGGAACACCAGUGGCGAAGGCGGUCUGCUGGACAGCAACUGACGCUGAGGCGCGAAAGCGUGGGGAGCAAACAGGAUUAGAUACCCGUGUAGUC
rnacentral:rRNA from 1 species